GCCUCGGUGGCCGAGUGGUCGAAGGCGUGAGACUUAUGAUCUCAUUGGGUUACACCAAUCGCGGGUUCGAAUCCCGUCCGAGGCA
rfam:Caenorhabditis japonica strain DF5081 Contig17999.2, whole genome shotgun sequence.